rnacentral:rRNA from 1 species
UACGUAGGGGGCAAGCGUUGUUCGGAAUUAUUGGGCGUAAAGAGCUCGUAGGCGGCUUGUCGCGUCGGAUGUGAAAGCCCGGGGCUUAACUCCGGGUCUGCAUUCGAUACGGGCAGGCUAGAGUUCGGUAGGGGAGAGCGGAAUUCCUGGUGUAGCGGUGAAAUGCGCAGAUAUCAGGAGGAACACCGGUGGCGAAGGCGGGUCUCUGGGCCGAAACUGACGCUGAGGAGCGAAAGCGUGGGGAGCGAACAGG